rnacentral:rRNA from 1 species
UACAGAGGUCUCAAGCGUUGUUCGGAUUCAUUGGGCGUAAAGGGUGCGUAGGCUGCGCAGAAAGUUGGGUGUGAAAUCCCUCGGCUUAACCGAGGAACUGCGCCCAAAACUACUGUGCUUGAGGGAGACAGAGGUGAGCGGAACUUAGGGUGGAGCGGUGAAAUGCGUUGAUAUCCUAAGGAACACCCGUGGCGAAAGCGGCUCACUGGGUCUCUUCUGACGCUGAUGCACGAAAGCUAGGGGAGCGAACGGG